rnacentral:lncRNA from 1 species
AAAUUCACUUUCGAGCUAUGGCACUUGCCGCAUAGACGUGGGGGGCCUUGCAUUAAUAGUGAUAGUUACCACUGCAUUUAGAAAUUGAAAGCAUUCAUGCAGACAAGGAUGAUUCUUUAUAUUUUUGGCUACCACUUCAAAUGCCUCCACCAAGUGUUACAAUGCUGCACGCAGCCAUACUAAGGAUGUCCCAGCAACACCUGCAGGUAAAAAGCAAAAGCAGGCAAAGUGCUGGUGUAUUCUGGACACUAGCUUUGAAAACUUUUGGGCAAGAACAGUGCAAGAAGCAGACAUAACAACUGCAUUUAUUUCCACAAUUCCCCAUUUGAAUGGCCUUUUCUUUUUGCUUAGACAAUGCCUACGCCUAGCCACAGCAGCUCCCUCAUACAGACUCCGCAAGCCAAGAGGCCGUGGAGGCAAAUGCAGGCAGCCAGCACACCUCCAGCAGCCACCUUGACUGCGGGUGUGUCACCCUAGUCGCCAAGGAAACAUUUGAGGGAACGCGACAGGCAAUGUGAACAGCCACUUCUCCAUGUAAACGAUACUCUUUCUCUCGGAUGACUCCUACGCCUCGCCACGCCAGCACACUUGUGCACAAAGAUGCCGCGGAGGCACGUACAGGUCAGAGGCAAGAAGCAGUGGCACUGAUGUCGACAUUCGCCCAAUUUCUUUUUCUUACAUUGAGGCAGCCAGCACACCUCGAACAGCCACCUUGACUGCGGGUGUGUCAGUAGAUUCCUGUUGUACAUAUGCUCAUAAUAAACUUCAGUAAACUUGAACUUGAUAAUAAACUUGAUGGCAAAUGG